GCGCCCCCCGGGCAAGGGUCCCCUCGCUGCUUCUCUGCCCGGAGCCGGGAGCGUGCCGGUGCGACGGGGUGAGCCUACGCAGGCGUGCGGGAGAGCGAGGAGUUGGGAUGCUGGCAGCUUCUCGGUGUGGAGUUCUCAUUAGAGAUGGAAGAUGAAGACACGAUUGACGUGUUCCAGCAGCAGACAGGUGGAGGGUGCUAAGACAUGCUGUCCUCUGGAGAAGAGGAGUUUCAGGAUCCUCAUCUCACCUGACUCUCUCAUCUGUCCUCGAAUUUGCUAUUUUAAUAGUGAACAAAUGAGCAUUCCAAUCACACGGGGCUCCUCAAAACUUCAGUUGCUUGUUGUCUUUGACAUUCUGCAUGCACAAGUCAAAACAGUAUCUGCAGGGAUGGAUCAGCAUUUGAAUUGGGCCAGCUUGAUUUAAGUUCAGAUUAAGUCAUGCAUAUUCUCUCUGCUGUGUUUUUUUUUUUUAAUUGUUUUUACUAAAUUUUUUUUCUUUCUUUAAACCUAUAGCCUGAACAUUCAUCCGUGUGUUGGGACGUGGAGCGUUCAUUCCUGGCUCUGUUCAGUCUUGUGCCUCUGUUUAACUCAAAUUAUGUAAAUCAGUGUAUUUUCACGCUAGUUUUGAGCAUGAAAUUUUACUUUUAGGAGGCACCCAAGAGGAGGAACAGAGAUACUGGUUUUAAGUUCUUAGCUCGUGUUGCAAACGCAGUCGGUCCCUUGGGCAGCAUUGAGCCCUUGGCAUGGGCUGCAACACGAGACAGUACUUACAGCAGAGUUCAAAUACUGAAGGUUGACAUGUGUUUUGUCAUGUUAUGAUAAAGGUGUCCAAAAUAUACUUUUUUUAUGCAGAAA